rnacentral:lncRNA from 1 species
UACUAAAAAGCUAUUUCACAUUAACAUUUUUUUCACUUUCGCGUUCAUUUUAUGUAUCAGACACUGUAUUUGGCGUUGGAAAUAGAAGGCUGAAUGACCUUAAUAUAACCAAGGAUUAUUUUUCAAAAUAGCAAGUACCCAAACUGGUAUAUACUCUAGGAAGAGCUUGUUUUCUCAUCUGAUAACAUUUCUUAAUCACAUGAAUUUUAAUUCAUUUUAAUUGAAAAUAUAUCUUGAGUGUUUAAGAUAGAGUAAAAAUUUGAAAAAAAACUAAUAAUAGGGUGAUUGGCCUUUUAAGUCUGAAUCACAGUCUUAAAUCUUUGUUUAGGUUGCUGGUUUUCACAGACUAUUUUAUAAUAAACUUGUUUUAUGAAAUGAAAAAAAGUAAGUAAAUAGAGUUCCGUAAACAUUAUGUGUUAUAUGUUUUAUAAAUGAACCAGUUUGGAAAUAUUUCACCCAAGAUUAAGCCAUUUCGCAUUAAUACUUUUCAAAUGGAGCUGACGAUAUUUAGGAGGAAAAAAGUGUAAAGAUAAAAGAGGAUGAAAGGCACAUGGAAGCCUUUGCAGCAGAAUACCUGUGGGGUUCAGACCAAAGUGUCACGGAACGGGUCUCCCGGCCACCUUUCUACUGGAGUUAAGGUCACUCCCUAAGAAGAGCAAAAAAGGUGUGUCCCUUUGACGGUGAGUCAGUAAUGUUGUCUUCAAAGAAAUGUGUGUGUUCCUUCCCUAAUUGCAAGUGUAAACUGACACUAACACUCGUAAAUAAUAAGGAAAACCAUCGGGGAGACUUUAUAUAUGUCCUAUUUCUGUUCACCUCCACUGUGUAGUGUGUACUCUUUAGACGAACUGGUUGCGGAAAUAAAUACUGAACAGUGGUGUUUUUCAGCUCUUAUUCACAUCCACAAGUGGAGAAUACACUUUGAAUGCACUUUCCUGUUUAUUUUUCUACUCUCCUAGAAGUGCUUCAUAAAAGAAGGCUUUUGAUUAAAAAAAGCGUAACACUUGGCUAUUCCCCGCAAAUUGUCUAAGUGAUGGUUACGGCACCACUCUUUCCUUUUAAGUCUCACUUAUUUAGAAAAGGAUCAGUCAACUCCUUAGCUAGAUGCACACUAAAUUGCUGCUGAGCCAUGGGUAUAUUUGGAACAAGACACACUGAAGAUGGAAGUAGGCCACUAAUGCAAAGAUGUAAUUAAUCCAUUCGUGCCCUGGGUUGUAGACUUUAUGAAUACUAUGUCUCUUACAUAUAUGUACUAUUAUUAGAAAUAUUUAUUUAUUUAUUUUCUCUUUUAAUUUUAUAAUGAUUUUUAUUUUUUCCAUUAUAGCUGGUUUACAGUGUUCUGUCAAUUUUCUACCAGACAGCAACGUGACCCAGUCACACAUACAUGUAUACAUUCUUUUUUUCUCACAUUGUCAUGCUCCAUCAUAAGUGACUAGAUAUAGCGCUCAGUGCUAUACAGCGGGAUCUCAUUGCUUAUCCAUUCUGAAGGCAAUAGUUUGCAUCUAUUAACCCCAAAUCCCCAAUCCAUUCCCCUCCCCCCUCCCCUUCCCCCUUGGCAACCACAAGUCUAUUCUCCAAGUCCAUGAUUUUCUUUUCUGUGGAAAGGUUCAUUGGUGCCAUAUAUUAUAUUACAGAUAUAAGUGAUAUCAUGUGGCAUUUGUCUUUUCCCUUUUUCUUCUUAUUAAUUUUUAUUUAUUUUUAUCAAUGAAACAUUUAAUUAAAAGCAUUACUGAAUUCAUAAUUGCUCUUGUCCAACAUGUAUUUUUUCUUUUUUUUGGCCAUGCUCUGGACAUGCAGAAGUUCCCAGAACAGGGAUGGAACCCAUGUCACAGCAGUGACCUGAACCACAGCAGCAAUCAGGCCAGAUCCUCAACUGCUGAACCACCAGGGAACUUCAACAUGUAUUUUUUUCAUCAGUUGAUACUAAAAGUACAACUACUACUUUAAAAAAUAUGUUGCAUAUUUUUUAAAAGUAUGGAAAAGAAGUGUUCAGAUAUAGAAAGGUAAAAAGCAAUUGCUGUCAUUUGCCAGUUUUAGUUAGGAUUAGAGCAAAUUUAUCAUUUAGUGGCAUUGCUGUGAAUAAUACAUCACUGACAAAUUAUGAAGACAGAAUUAGACCAUUGUUAAUACCCAGGUCCUCCUGGAGAGCUACCAAUAAAUAUCACUGGACAUUGCUGUAACGUCGUUUCUUCAUUUAUUACUGAUGUCAUAAUUGAUGCUUACCUGAAUUUCACAUAUUCCCCAUAUGUUUACAAACUUUAAGAUGCUACUUUUAUUUUUCUUCAGCUAUAAUGCUCUUGACAUAUUUUCACUCUUCAUUUUUGACAUAUUACUAUCUACUUAAACAUCAGUCUUAAAUAAUGAAUUUUUUUUUUUUUUUGUCUUUUUAGGGCUGCACCCGUGUCACGUGGAUAUUCUAAGGCUAGGGGUCAAAUUGGAGCUAUACCUGCCAGCCCACACCACAGCCCCAGCGAUUCAGGAUCCAAGCUGCAUCUGUGACCUACACCACAGCUCACAGCAACACUGGAUCCUUAACCCACUGAGCAAGGCCAGGGAUCGAACUUGAGUCCUCAUGGAUACUAGUUGGGUUUGUUAUCGCUGAGUAUUACAUUUGAAUUUGUGUUUUUUGCUUCUUUGGGGUUUUUGGUUUGUUCAUUUGUUUUGCUUUUUAGGCCCACACCCUUGGCAUAUGGAAGUUCCCAGGCUAGGGUUUGAAUCAGAGCUACAGCUGCUGGCCUACACCACAGCCACAGCAAUGCCAGAUCCAAGCCUCGAUUAUGACCUACACCACAGCUCACGGCAAUGCCGGAUCCCUGACCCACUGAGCGAGGCCAGGGAUUGAACCCAAGUCCUCAUGAAUGCUAGUCGGAUUCAUUUCCCAUGCACCAUGACAGGAACUCCCUGCAUUUGCUAAAAACAGAAAUCCACUUGUAAUAUUACCUUAAAAAUCAAAUUAAUUGAAAGUGGGCCUUAAAGGGCAAUUGUCCUUUGACACACAUGAGAUUUAUUGAUUACUAUAUUUUAAAAGUAAGCUUAUUAUAGUAUAUUAGCGAUAAUGUGUAGAUAUUUUCAGCCUUUAGAUGGAUGUAUUCUUAUACUUAUUACAUAUCAAGUAAUUUGAUGUUUACUAAUGACACUGAAUUGUUAUGUACUUUUUAUUGGCUGGUGACUAUUUUUCCACAUUAUUACAAUACCUAUGACAGUGAAGCGCCCCCAAAAUAUUUUUAAGCAAAUGAUUAACUCUUUAUUUUCAACCAUCAAAUAAUUGUCUAUUAAAUAUUCUUUUACAUUAAAAAUCUACCUCCUCCUUUAAAAUUUGGUUUCCCAAAGUAGAAAGCUUUUAGUUAUCAAUGUUUAGGAAAAAUCCAGCUUUAGGCUAUUGAUAGGGUUUGUACAACCCAGUCAUUUAAAAAAAUUAUAUUUAGUGAGAAAAAGUGCUAAUACACAUAAACUUUGAUGAUACCGAAUCUCCUUACCUACAGUUGGGAAUAUAUAAGGUGAAAUCUCCGAGGUUUACUGUGAGAAUUGCAAAUGUCUAGUUGUUUUUGGAAAUGUGCACUUUCUUUCAUCUGUAAGACCUACAUAUAAUAGCAGGGUCCAGAGAGACUAAAGCCAGGCUGCCCAGAUUUGAAUCCCAUUUCCUAGUUUUAAUCUUGGUUAAGUCACUUACCCAUUGUGUAUCUUUGUUGCUUACCUAUAAAAUGAAAAUGAUAAUAGAUCAGUCUCCCUGAGGUCUUGUGUAAAAUUAGCAUGAUUUAAAAUAAAUCUGUAGAUUUUGGAUAUCAAAUAGCUAGUAAACACACCCCUAUCACAUCAGUAUUUUGUGUUUCUUAUUUUAUAAAUGAUCUCAGUAGAAAGAAUUUUAUUAUUAGGCUGUUUUAUUUGAGACAGUUUCAGAAUAUGCCUUUAUAAGAUUGAUUCUCUGAAGUCAUACAGUUAAGCCUUUUAAGCAAAAGGGCACUUGGCUAUUGUACACAGUGUUGGAAAAAACCAGAUUAUUUUAUAAUUAGUUCAGAAAAACCAACAGCAUUUCUCAGAAAUGAAAAGGCAGAGACUGCACUCCCAGGUAUUACAUAGCAGCUGACAUUUAUAUUUUAUUCUGUUCAAACACACACACACACACACACACACACACACACACACACACACACCAGUUAUAAAGAUAAGUACUCAAUUGUGUCUAAUGUUAAAGGGCAAUAUUUCAUCUGUUUCUAAGGACAAUACAAAGCUAAGCAGUAUAGACUAUUCUAAAGAUAACAUAUAAGGUUUCUGUUAUGACUCAUCUUUGUUAAAUUUAUGAGGUAGGCAAAAUCCUCUCUAGAGUCUCUCACCUGCCCUGUCUUUACUCCCUACCAUCUGCUAGGAACUCCAUCUCCUUUAUAUGAGCAGCUAAACAAUAACUAUUGGAUGAACGGAAGCGUUAACAAUAAAACAUCCCAUUCUCAGAGGGUUUUCCCUGUUGAGUUGGUAUGGAUGAAGGCACUUGAGAAAUUUUAGGGAGCAUUCACAGAGAAGUAAUUCAUAAAAAUGAUAAAAUGCCAAUAACAAAGUUUUAAGAAGAGAAAAUUAUUCAGUUGGGAUAACUUACUGGUGUCCCUCAAUUAGUAUCAAUCAGUUGAAAUUCAAGAACCUCUUAUGGAGAAGAGUUCUGCUCCAUUCUCAUCCAAGGUCAAUGCUGGGCAAGUCUGUAGUGAAACGCCUAUCCAUUUUUUGUUUGCACCAUAUACUGGCCUGAGUCUGCUGGAUAAAUAUUGGUCACCUACUUCCCUAAGUAUUAAAUGGGAGAUGGGAUGCUGUCUUCCAUGAUGAUUACAUUUCAAAGGGAUGGCUCUCAGGUACUUGAGAAAGACAGUCCUGGGAUGUAAAACUGGCAAGAGGCUUUUUAAAAGAUUUAUAUGUAAAAGAUCUAUAUCAGGGGAAGCUCCUGCUGUGGCACAGCAGGUUGAGGAUCCUGCAUUUUUCUCUGCAGCUGGGGUUGCUGCUAAGGUGAUGGUUGGAUCCCCAGCCUGGUGCAUGAGUUAAAAGGAUCUGAUAUUGGAGUUCCCUUCAUGGCUCAGCAGUUAAUGAAUCUGACUAGAAUCCAUGAGGAUGCGAGUUCGAUCCCUCGCCUCACUUAGUAGGUUAAGGAUCUGGCAUUGCGGUGAGAUAUGGUAUAGUUCACAGAUGCGGCUCGGAUCCUGAGCUGUUGUGGCUAUGGCUGUGGCUAGCAGCUACAACUCCGAUUUGACCCCUAGCCUGGGAACCUCCACAUGGGUUUGGCCCUAAAAAGAAAAAAAAAAAAA